UCCUUGGCAGUUCAGUGGUAAGGAUGCUGCGCUUCCACUGCUGGGGGCACGGGUUCGAUCCCUGGUCAGGGAA
rnacentral:tRNA from 1 species